UUGUUCGCAAUGGACGAAAGUCUGACGACGCAACGCCGCGUGGAGGAUGAAGGUCUUCGGAUUGUAAACUCCUGUUGCCCGGGACGAAAUGCUUCGACCUAAUACGUCGAAGUUUGACGGUACCGGGUGAGGAAGCCCCGGCUAACUCUGUGCCAGCAGCCGCGGUAAUACAGAGGGGGCAAGCGUUGUUCGGAAUUACUGGGCGUAAAGGGCGCGUAGGCGGCCUGCUAAGUCGAACGUGAAAUCCCCGGGCUCAACCCGGGAACUGCGUCCGAUACUGGUUGGCUCGAAUCCGGGAGAGGGAUGUGGAAUUCCAGGUGUAGCGGUGAAAUGCGUAGAUAUCUGGAGGAACACCGGUGGCGAAGGCGGCAUCCUGGACCGGUAUUGACGCUGAUGCGCGAAAGCCAGGGGAGCAAACGGG
rnacentral:rRNA from 1 species